rnacentral:miRNA from 1 species
UAUACAUACACACAUACCCAUA